rnacentral:rRNA from 1 species
CGGACCAAGGAGUUUAACUGCAUUGCGAGUCAAAGGGUGUGCAAACCCAAUGGCGUAAUAAAUGUGAUCAUAAUAGUGUGAUCUGGGCACUUAGGUUGACUAAAGUGCCCGGCGCAACACUGGCCCGUCCCUCUGUGUGUGUGGCGUAAGUCGCAUGUCAUAAGGGCGGUGCAUGAGCAAUGCGGUUAAGAACCCGAAAGAUGGUGAGCUAUGCUUGCAUAGGUUGAAGCCAGAGGAAACUCUGGUGGAAGACCGUAACGAUUCUGACGUGCAAAUCGAUCGUUGAAUGUGAGUAUAGGGGCGAAAGACUUAUCGAACCAUCUAGUAGCUGGUUCCCUCCGAAGUUUCCCUCAGGAUAGCUAGUACUCACUAUCUCACUUUUAUCCGGUAAAGCGAAYGAUAAGCGGYGCCGGGGAAAAACCYUCCNCAACCUAAACACAAACUUAAAUGGGUAAGAUGUCCGGCUCGCUUCAUUACAGUCGGACAUCGAAUGUGAGUACUAAGUGGGCCAUCUUUGGUAAGCAGAACUGGCGCUGUGGGAUGAACCAAACGUGUUGGUUAGAGUGCCUAACGCUAACGCUCAUGAGAUAUCACAAAAGGUGUUGAUGCAUUUAGACAGCAGGACGGUGGCCAUAAAAGUCGGAAUCCGCUAAGGAGUGUGURACGACUCACCYGCCGAAUGCAUCAGCCCYGNAAAUUCAUGGCGCUAGAGCUUUGGASUCAUACAGCACUAUCGGUGCCYGCUGGGUUUGUCUUUGGCAUAUCCAGGGUAAAAGGUAUACCGAUGAGUAGGAGGGACACCNUGGUGGCUGUGAAGCUGUGUACGUGAGUACUGGUGGAGCCAUCACGGCAGMUGAUCUUGGUGGAAGUAGCAAUUAUUCAAGUGGAACUCCU